rnacentral:rRNA from 1 species
GACGAACCAUGCAAACGUUAUUCGGAUUCACUGGGCGUAAAGGGUGCGCAGGCGGCCAAGUGUGUGAGGCGUGAAAGCCUGGGGCUUAACCCCAGAAUUGCACCUCAAACUACAUGGCUAGAGCAUUGGAGAGGGUAGCAGAAUUCAUGGUGUAGCAGUGAAAUGCGUAGAUAUCAUGAGGAAUACCAGAGGCGAAGGCGGCUACCUGGACAAUUGCUGACGCUCAGGCACGAAAGCGUGGGGAGCAAAAGGG